UUUCAUCUUCUCUUUUGGUCUUUGCUGUUCAGCUUCGUUGCUUUGCAGGUGUAUAGAUUGCACGCGUCGCUUCUUCGGCUCCUUCGUGGCUGUUCGACUUGGAUCCUUCGACGACUUCCCUUUCCUGUCGGAUCGGAAGUUACAACAUUUUGAUCGGAAGCAAGAACGGGACCUUGCUGGCUGUGAAGGUAACUUCUCCCUUUCGCGCGCUUCUUCGGCUUAAUCUCGUUAAAUCCGCCAAACCGACGGAUUUAGUAAAUCCAGGAUUUAAGCCGUAAAUCCGGGAUUUAACGCGCGCACAAAAACCAUUUGGCUGGAUUUAGCGUAAAUCCGAAUUAAAUCCGAUACCAAACAGCCCCUAAGCUCUAUUACGCUCUGCGAAGCCCGGCGCCGAGUACGAUCGACCUGAGCUAGAAACUAGCAGAUGAACGCAACGAUGAAGGGAGUCGGCGAUGUUGCCUACAAGGCAUUCACCGCCGGUCUUGGCGCCGCCACCAUUUACCUCGCUGUCACUUUUUCCAUCAACGUCUACCGUGGACUCUCUUGGCACACUUCACAAUCCAAAAUUGAAAAGGAUAAAUCUCUGGAAUGACGCUGGACUGGAGUUUUCUCCUAUGAGAGCAUGUUCCCCCCCUCUAUUCGUCUCUCAAUUGUAAGGCUGAAAUGUAAUUUUCCUCUCGCUUCUCACUUCUGUUAUAUUUUAAAAUAAGAUACGAAGACUUUGUUUCUGCUGUUUAAAUAGUUCAUUUCAGCUCUCUUAUAAUAGAAUUUUUUUCAAAUUUUCUAAGGUUCA